rfam:Lactobacillus sanfranciscensis TMW 1.1304, complete genome.
AUUGGAGUAGAAAUUAGCGCGUUAAGUGUCGAUGGAACGGAAUGUGAACAUCGGACGAAAAACUUCAACGUUUGCGGUUCUAAUUUCGCAUUCGCCACU